CAUUAAGUGACUGAAAAGUAAGUAAUGAUCUUUUAAAUCAUAAUAUAAUAUAAUUUAACAAAUAUUCUUAAUGA
rnacentral:tRNA from 1 species